CCCGACAGCUAAGCAGAGACCACACUCAGAGACAGAUGUCGCCCGCCGUCCGCCUGGCUGGGCCACGUCCGGCCCAGUGAAAUGUCAAUGGUUUUUAACCUCAUUGAACAACAGCACAGCAUGUCCACUGUGUAUGAUAUUCAAGUAAAUGUCAGGCAGCCCUUUGGAAGCCGCUUCGUCUCCCCGGAGUGAUUCACGAGGGACAAAUCAACAGCGUCGGAGGGAGGCCACUGUACCCAGCACUUUAACACAAAAUACCAUGACAGCGGGAAUGGGGAGACAUGAGGUUUGCUUCAUGCUGUUACAGUGUUGGCGUCCACAGGACCAAAACUGAGUCUAGCCAGAAGAUAGUUGACCCACUGCUGUCUCGUCGCUCAUUGAUGUCGUCUCCACUUUUAAAGUGAACCGCUGCGUUGAACGACUUCACCCUGAAGAAACAGUCAAGAUCCUGUGGACUGCUGCAAUAUACGUAAAGGUUCAGUACGUUAACUGUUAUUUAGUGACCUGGAAGGUCAGUUGAGAACCAGUUCUUAUUUUCACUGAUGACCUGGCCAACUGCUUUCACCUGCAAAAGGGCAGGACAACACACAAAACCAUGAAUUAUUUUCAGAAUCCAUAUAUAACAAUAUAAGUACAAAUAAACACAAUAUACAAGGGACUAAACAUAAAAUCUGCAUUAUGCACAGUGAAAGCCUCAAUGUGGUGCAUUAUUUAAUAUUGAUUAGCAUGUUGUUCCUAUCUGUGUUUCAGAUGCCAAAUCUCUAUUGGUUAUUGUCCUUGUUCCUGGACAAGCUGUUGUUUUCAUGGCACAGUUCACCAUUGCUUUGCAGAAGGAAUGUGCUCAUUCUACUGAGAUAAACCUGUGAUACUGCGCUGGUUUUGGUGUAUAGAGAGGAUCAGAGGAUGCUAGAUGAUGGUGACGCUGAUGACCUUGUUGAGUUUUCCCGGUUAGUCCUCAAAUGACGUUCCUCGAAGACCAGGCUGCCGGAGAAAACAGUGAGAAGUGCUUCUUUGUCAAUGAAUGCAUUUUGACGCAAAUCAACUUGUGAAAAGAGAUAUGGUUUAAGUAACUGCACAUAGAACUGUCGUUUUGACCACUAUGCUAACAAGAUGGAUACAAUAUAAUCAAAAGAAUUUAGUAUAAAUAUGAAAAAUCAAUGUUUAUUAAUGGACCACUGCUGUUUUGAGCACCUUUCCAAGAGGUUAGCCAAAAAUAUAGCAUCAGUAAAAACAAAAUAUUAAGGUAGCAGAAUAAAAUCCACACUGCUCCACACAUCGGGUCUUGAUGAACAAAAUAUAUUAAAGAUUAAAAUCUUUACUGUACAUUGUGUAAUUCAUUGAGAACAAAAUGAGAACAAAAUGUAACAACAGUCAAUUGAAGCCAAAAUCGCCAAAUGAUUGAGGGCUGGUUUCAAACCCACACCGAAAAUCAGAGUAAACAAUUGAAAUCACAGGCUGUUUCAACUCAUAAUGUGACUCAGUAGUGUGUAUGGCCCCCACGUGCCUGUAUGCACUCCGGACAACAGCUGGACAUGCUCCUGAUGAGACGGCGGAUGGUGUCCUGGGGGAUCUCUUCCCAGACCUGGUUCAGGGCAUCAAUGAGCUCCUGGACAGUCUGUUGUGCUACUUGGCAGCUAAGAAUGCACCGAUACAUAACGUCCCAGAGGUUCUCAACUGGAUUCAGGUCUGGGGAACAUGAGGGCCAGACAAUGGCAUCACUGCCUUCGUCAUCCAGGAACCUACACACUUUGACCACUUGAGGCCGGGCAUUGUCCUACACCAGGAGGAACCCAGAGUACCAUUGCACCAGCGUAAGGUCUGAGGAUUUCAUCCCGGUACCUAAGAGCAGUCAGGGUUGGCUAGCAUGUGGAGGUCUGUGCGACCCUCCAAGUAUAUGCCUCCCCAGACCAUCACUGACCCACCGCCAAACCGGUCAUGCUGGAUGAUGUUGCAGGCAGCAUAACGUUCGCCACAGCGUCUCCGGACUCUUUCACGUCUGUCAUAUGUGCUCAGUGGGAACUUGCUGUCAUCUGUAAAGAGAACAAGCCACCAAUGGUGGACCUGCCAAUUCUGGCGUUCUCUUCAUGAAUGCCAAUCAAGCUGUACGGUGCUGGACUGUGAGCACACAUCCCACUAGAGGACGUCGGGCCCUCAGGCCACCCUCAUGGAAUAUGUUUUUGACAGUUUGGUCAGAAUCAUGCACACCAGUAGCCUGCUGGAGGUCAUUUUGUAGGGCUCUGGCAGUGCUCCUCCUAUUCCUCCUUGCACAAAGGAGCAGAUACCAGUCCAACUGCUGGUUUGAUGCCCUUCUACAGCCCUGUCCAGCUCUCCUUUUGUAACAGCCCAUCUCCUGGUAUCUCCUCCAUGCUCUUGAGAUUUUACUGGGAGACACAGCAAACCUUCUUGCGAUGACAUGUAUGGAUGUACCGUCCUGGAUGAGCUUGACUACCUGUGCAAACCGAACGGGCUGCAGCUACCUCCUCGUGCUACCAGUAGUGACAAGGACACAAGCAAAACUAGAGAAGAAUCAGUCAGGAAGGAUAAGGAGAGAGCAAUAGUCUGUGGCCACCACCUGCACAACCAUUCCCCUUUUUGGGGUUUGUCUUGCUGUUGCCUCUCCAGUGCACCUGUUGUCACUUUCAUUUGCACUGAAACAGGUGACAUUGUUUCACAAUUGCUAAUGCGUCCAUACUAGUCAGAUUGAUAUCCCAGACGUUUCAUUGACUUGGUGUUAUUCUGUGAUGAUUAUGUGUUCCCUUAAUUUUUAAAUGCUAAGUAGAGCAGUGUAAAUGCAAAGUAGCAGCUGAGGCUCAGCUGUCUGCUCCUCUCAUGUCUGUUGCUAUAUUGGCGGUUAUGAAUACUCAGACACAGGUGCAGUUGUGACAACCUUUUAGCAAGUUUUCAAACUGCUACAGCGACCUGUAUUGUAAACAGACCAAUUCAUACUUUCCCACUAACAGUUUCUAUGGUUUUAAAAUGUUUUCUUGUCACGCCGGCCUCCCCUUGCCCACUCCUGUGUCUUGUUGUGUUGAUUUGCCAUUGCUUUAAGUUGCCCUGUUUUCUGUUCUCCCCUCGUGGGUUAUUGUGCACAUUUCAUUUUCCCAUUUCUUUAUCUGUAAUUAUGAAUAAAGCAAAUUAUACAAUCG
ensembl:lncRNA